CUGCCUGCGCUGCGUUUGCAUGGCCAUGCCAGGGCUGGAAUCGAGUACUAGUACUAGUAGUGCACGGAUCUCAGAAGGUCAUAAGGUUGUCUCAUGCACAUCGACUUUGUGCUACAGUACAUGUACGCUUUUCGUGCAUUGCCUGCAAUCUGCUGUGCUUGACGCCGUCUACGUCUUGUCAUGUCUGUACUGCCACAACUGGCAGGCUCAAUGCGCACGAGCGCACAGGCAGUGGGACUAUUAGUGGAGUAAUCAUGAUCUGGUAAUACGGUAGUGGAGUACUCAGUAGAGUUUAUUGAUUGAACUGCUGAUUUCCAUGUCAGGAUGCGUUCUCGCCUAUCGGCUAUCUGCAUGGCAAAAGCCUCAUCCCAGGGUUUCUGUGAAGCAUGACCAAGAGUGGCGGUGAGAUUCUUGUGAUGCGAGGCAUGCAAUGCAGUUAGAAUGACGGCAAAGCCUAACCUCGACUACUAGUAGUCUCGACUAGCACACGUACAUGUAUAUUAGUGGCAGUAGAAUUAGAAAUAGAGCUAGUUCACUAGUUGUGUCAAUUGGAGUUGAGCGGCAAUGCUAUGUCCGUCUGAUCAUCGAUUAUUUUAAGUUCGUGAAACACAGAGUUAGGAAACAGCAACUGCUCGCUCUGCUGUCUGUGUAGCUGUUUAAAAAGAUACUUCAAAAUACUAUUAGUUGUGUAUCAAAGUACAGUCACUGUACUCAGUUUGCUCUCUGUUAUCCCUUCAUGUUCAAGUGCCUACCUGUUUUCCAAUCUUCCAGAAACAGUGAUUAGUAGUACACGGCCUACACCUAAGCCUUACUCAAGGAGAUAACUUAGAGUUUGUACCUACGUGCACAACUCCAAUGUGUAUUGCCGUGUAGCAAUAUUCUCUAUUAUACUUUGAAGUGCAAACGCCAGUGCAACAUUGGAGUUACACGGUGCACUUGUUGCAAGCUGCAGCGCUGAGAGCAGCGUGUGCUCUGACUGGUGAGUGCAAGACGUUUCAGCAGACCAUUCCGUCAAGAUGAUCGUCCACCAUGAAGAGAGGACUCAUAUUGGCGUUGUACUCCCAAUCUGGGCAUGUCAAUUUGUCGAUGAUCGUCAGGAACAACACGGAAGCAAACUGAAACAAAGCUCUACGAACAUGGGGUUGAUACGUCUAUUCCACUCUAGUGGUCACAGACCCCGAGGACCAACUACUGGCAGUGUGCAGAUUUCAUUGCGGAAAGUGCGUCGCAAUGCGCUGAGAGUGAGGAGACGAGCUGCUAAGGAGCUAAUUAUUUAAUAGCGCUUUGGAACACGCGUGAUUCUGAUCUUAUGAAAUCUCUAAGGAACAGCAUAUGGAACGCGCCUAAAAUAUCUUAAUCCUUGACUAAUAACAUAGCAUGAACAUUCAUACUUCAAACCACAUCAAUCCAUUAUCUCGCUACCUUGGUGAACUGUGGCCUGGGACGAGGAAAACAUGAAUGCAGUGAAUGGGAUUUUCGGUCUUUGACCACAUGCUGGUGAGCUGAUCUACUCACCUCCCACUGCUUUAGGAGCUGCAUCUGCGCCGUGAUCCUCGAAGGGUGGUGGCGUUCCUGCGGAUGCGGAAAACUCGGCCUCUACAUAGAGAAACCAAGUCUCACGCGAACCGUGACAUUUUUUGGUGAACUGUUAGUCAUACCUAGUAGCUUAUACAUGUAGGUCAUUUUCUCUUUACAUGAUCCAUAAGGUAUCCAAAUUUAUACUAAUCCCGUUGAAAUUAGUAUACUUCAAUACAACACCACAGAUUCGUUCCUGACGCCGCUGAGACGUUUCUCUAGGUUUUUCCCCUCUAGGUGUUUUCCCCUCUAGGUGUUUUCCCCUCUAGGUUCUUAUUUUGUCACGUACUAGCUAGCGUACUCUGAAACAUGCUCUUUGCCAUUUAGCUGGUCUCUCUGUGACUGCCAUAGCUGAAACGUAUUGUUACUCACUACACUGUAGUACCUACGCGCGACAGGCUUACACGUAUAUGCAUUUUGACCCGUUUGAUUUUCAGGCUUCUAUCCGUGAUGUGCUUGUAUUCAAACCCGGGUUUUAUCCGCGAAUUUACGGUACUUGAUCCCAUUACAUUAUUUUUACACUCAUUGGGUUGAAUAAAUGAAAGGGGAAACCCCCAAAGCACCAUUUUGAUGUGAACCCGAGGACCUUCGCUAUACAAAGUGUUGCACUGUCACUAAGCUAAGGUGUGGUGGUCAUUCACAGGGACAGUGCUCAACAUAUUCUUUGCCUUUCUCGCAAACUCAAACACCGGAUCGUUACACCAGGUAUAGCUAUAGCUUAUUGGUCCUUGUUUGCCAUCCUUAUGGUCCUUUCUUCCUUCUUAGAAUACUAUUCGCUCAACACCCGGGCUUUGCUGA